rnacentral:rRNA from 1 species
GAUGAACGCUGACAGAAUGCUUAACACAUGCAAGUCUACUUGAAUUUGGGUUUUUAACUUAGAUUUGGGUGGCGGACGGGUGAGUAACGCGUAAAGAACUUGCCUCACAGCUAGGGACAACAUUUAGAAAUGAACGCUAAUACCUAAUAUUAUGAUAAUAGGGCAUCCUAUAAUUAUGAAAGCUAUAUGCGCUGUGAGAGAGCUUUGCGUCCCAUUAGCUAGUUGGAGAGGUAACGGCUCACCAAGGCGAUGAUGGGUAGCCGGCCUGAGAGGGUGAUCGGCCACAAGGGGACUGAGACACGGCCCUUACUCCUACGGGAGGCAGCAGUGGGGAAUAUUGGACAAUGGACCGAGAGUCUGAUCCAGCAAUUCUGUGUGCACGAUGAAGUUUUUCGGAAUGUAAAGUGCUUUCAGUUGGGAAGAAAGAAAUGACGGUACCAACAGAAGAAGUGACGGCUAAAUACGUGCCAGCAGCCGCGGUAAUACGUAUGUCACGAGCGUUAUCCGGAUUUAUUGGGCGUAAAGCGCGUCUAGGUGGUUAUAUAAGUCUGAUGUGAAAAUGCAGGGCUCAACUCUGUAUUGCGUUGGAAACUGUAUAACUAGAGUACUGGAGAGGUAAGCGGAACUACAAGUGUAGAGGUGAAAUUCGUAGAUAUUUGUAGGAAUGCCGAUGGGGAAGCCAGCUUACUGGACAGAUACUGACGCUGAAGCGCGAAAGCG